rnacentral:rRNA from 1 species
GUCCACGCCGUAAAACGAUGGAUACUACCUGUUGGGAGCAAUCUCAGUGGCUAAGCGAAAGUGAUAAGUAUCCCACCUGGGGAGUACGUUCGCAAGAAUGAAACUCAAAGGAAUUGACGGGGGCCCGCACAAGCGGUGGAGCAUGUGGUUUAAUUCGAUGAUACGCGAGGAACCUUACCAAGGCUUAAAUGUAGUUUGACCGUUUUGGAAACAGAACUUUCGCAAGACAAAUUACAAGGUGCUGCAUGGUUGUCGU